rnacentral:rRNA from 1 species
GCUUAUCACCAUUCCAGAUUGAAUAUACCCGAUCUCGUCUGAUCUCGGAGAUCAAGCAAUCUCGGGCUUGGUUAGUACUUGGAUGGGUGACCGCUUGGGAAUACCAAGUGUGAUAAGCA